rnacentral:lncRNA from 1 species
AUGCUUUAUCAAAGGGCAGCUCCGGAAAUGCUUCGCUCCGCUCGGCGGGGAUUUCUCGGGCUCACGCGCCCCGUGGAACUUCUGGAAGGCUGCAAAUGCGGAGGCCGAUUUAACACGCGUCUACCAACCUCUCCGGGAACGCUCGCGCCCCAAACGCAGACUGAAAAAGCUCUCUGCGCCCUUCCCUCGCCUGGGAUUCAGCGGCCCAUUCAUUUUCACGCUUUAAGACGACUGCCAGCGGGACCAGGAGGGCGGUCAGAGUCGAGUGGGUUUCGCCAGUCCCGAGCGAGUCCUUCUCGGUGUCACCGCUCGGAAACCGUGGCCCUUCACACGCGUGCGCAGGAAAGCGCCUCCCGGCGUCAGCAGCGCAGCGCAGCCCGCGCUCCGGCGAGGAGCGGAUCGGAACGCCUUACCUCCCGGACCCUGUCUGGGCCAGCUGCUCACAAACUCCGAGAGUGAUUUUGGCUUUGGAGCAGAGCCAGAAGCCACCCCACUCCGGACGCGGCGAACCAAGCGUGAGGACUCCCGUGGUGUUUCUACGGGCGCCUUUCCGUCGGGCAGCACGAGGGGCAGUGAUACGGGCCAUGUUUCCGCCAGACCUCAUAAAAACACUCACGAAGAGGUCUUCCAGAACUGCUUCAGAGUGGUAAGGACGUUGGGUUAAGUGUAUUCAAAGGCAGGG